rnacentral:misc_RNA from 1 species
CCACUGGGUAUCGUCUCUUCUCUAAGCUUAUCUCCUCUUCCCAGUGGGAUUCUUGGAUUUGAGCUGCUACUCUGUCGCUGGUUUAGUUCUUGCGAAUCUUUUUGCUCUGCAACAGCUGGGGAUCCCAAAACCGAUUAAUUAUCAUCUGCACAAGUACGGCUCUGCUAAGGAUUUCUUGCCCUGAUUCAAUCAAAAUGCAGGCCCUUCUCUUGGAUUAUUGAGUCUUUUUUUCUUUGUUAUGCAAGACAUUGCCCCUUCAUUUCCCGAUCUUGCCACAGUGAUCAUGAUUUAUCUCAAGAUUCUUGGGUUUCUUGGGCGAUUCAGCC